rnacentral:rRNA from 1 species
GACGAACGCUGGCGGCGUGCUUAACACAUGCAAGUCGAACGGUGAAGGGAUCAGCUUGCUGGUUCUGGAUGAGUGGCGAACGGGUGAGUAACACGUGAGUAACCUGCCCCCUUCUUCUGGAUAACCGCAUGAAAGUGUGGCUAAUACGGGAUAUUCUGCGCCUGCUGCAUGGUGGGUGUGGGAAAGAUAUUGUUUCGGUGGGGGAUGGGCUCGCGGCCUAUCAGCUUGUUGGUGGGGUGAUGGCCUACCAAGGCGGUGACGGGUAGCCGGCCUGAGAGGGUGGACGGUCACACUGGGACUGAGACACGGCCCAGACUCCUACGGGAGGCAGCAGUGGGGAAUAUUGCACAAUGGGCGCAAGCCUGAUGCAGCGACGCCGCGUGAGGGAUGGAGGCCUUCGGGUGGUGAACCUCUUUCGCCAGUGAAGCAGGCCUGUCCCUUGUGGGUGGGUUGACGGUAGCUGGAUAAGAAGCGCCGGCUAACUACGU